GAUGAACGCUGGCGGCGUGCUUAACACAUGCAAGUCGAACGGAAAAGCCCUGCUUUUUUGCUGUGCUCGAGUGGCGAACGUGUGAGUAUCACGUGAGUAACCGGCACUUGUCUUUGGGAUACCUUCAGGAAACGGGGGCUAAUACCGGACAGGAGCUCAUCCUGCAUUGGGGGCGGUGGAACGUUUCGGCGGUUGGGGAUGGACUCGCGGCUUAUGAGCGUGUUGGUGGGGUAGUGGCUGACCAAGGCUUUGCCGGGUAGCCGACCUGAGAGGCUUGCCGGCCACAUUGGGACUGAGCUACGGCCCAGACUGCAACGGGAGGCAAGGGUGGGGAGCAUUACACAACGAGAGGAAGCCUGAUGAAGCGACGCCGCGGGCGGUAAGCCGGCCUGUGGGUUGAAAACAGCAGCCGGCUGAGACGAAGCGUUAGUGACGGUAAUGGGUAAAGAAGCACCGGCUAACUACGUG
rnacentral:rRNA from 1 species